AACGAACGCUGGCGGCAGGCUUAACACAUGCAAGUCGAACGCUCCGCAAGGAGAGUGGCAGACGGGUGAGUAACACGUGGGAACGUACCCUUUACUACGGAACAACUCCGGGAAACUGGAGCUAAUACCGUAUGUGCCCUUUGGGGGAAAGAUUUAUCGGUAAAGGAUCGGCCCGCGUUGGAUUAGCUAGUUGGUGGGGUAAAGGCCUACCAAGGCGACGAUCCAUAGCUGGUCUGAGAGGAUGAUCAGCCACAUUGGGACUGAGACACGGCCCAAACUCCUACGGGAGGCAGCAGUGGGGAAUAUUGGACAAUGGGCGCAAGCCUGAUCCAGCCAUGCCGCGUGUGUGAUGAAGGCCUUAGGGUUGUAAAGCACUUUCACCGGAGAAGAUAAUGACGGUAUCCGGAGAAGAAGCCCGGCUAACCUCGUGCCAGCCGCCGCUGUAA
rnacentral:rRNA from 1 species